rnacentral:lncRNA from 9 species
AUGAGGAAACCGAGGUCCAGAGGGAUUAAGUGCCUGGUCCACCGUCUCCUCUGAGACACGACAGAGUAAGAUUCUUGCCCCUCUCGUGUUCAGGGCUCUUACCCUUGUGGGGCUCCCACCUUGGAGCCCUUCCUCUCCUUUUGAGACCCGCUCUCUCCAGGGGCUGGGCUGAGAUUGUACUCCUGCCAGUUCCAUGGGGGGCCUUGCUCUGCUCAGGAUUCCUGAGUGGCUGGAAGCCAGAUUCCAGGCCUCUCAACAAGCUGGGGGACACCAGCCUCAUGCCCUUCCUGAGCCUCAGUUUCCACCACAGUUUCCUCUUCGAGAGAGAGCACUGCCAGAUAGUUUUCUUGCUCACCCACCUGCUCCCCAUCAGGAAAGAGCUAAGGUUGGGCCACAAAUCCAAGGUCACCUCUGGAAAGGCCUCUGGGCACCUGGAGCUCUCAUGAGGCAAGGGUAGAAGGCAGACAGAAUGCUGGACCAUGUUGGGAGCAUGCUGGGUCUCCAUGGGGAGCUGCUCGCUGCCUCCCAAGGGUCUCAGCCUCAGGAAGCCCCGGGCCUCCUCCCGGUGCUCCCAGCCGCACCCAUCCCCAGCUCUAUAAAGUCAGGGUGAGGUCAGGAGCCAGGGAGGGCCCUCCUCUGCCCCUGCCUGCCCACCCUGGCCCAGACUGGAGCCUAGGCGCCCCACCCUGGCGGGAUCUGUCAGGUGUGAUUUUGGAUGCUUUCAGGUGUGGCCCAGCCAGGCCCAACCAUGUUCUGGGUGGGGGCUGCCUGCCUGGCCGCCAGCACCUUGUAGACAGAGGCUCCCUUCAUAGUUCCCUUCCUUUUGCCUGAAACCAGGGCGGGGAGGAUCUCUUGCUGCUGCCCCAGCUGGGGGAAGUUGUGCAACCCAGGGUACACCCCCCAGCGUCUGCCCACACGGCGAGGGCGGCAGAACUGAGAAUUCACAUCCACCUUCAAAGGGUCACUUCUCAAGGGACUCAUAGAUCACUCUGCCAGUCACAAGGGAGGGGACAUGGGUGGCUCUGGGUGGUGGUAAGAGGAGGAGAGGGCGGGUGAGAAACUGGGUUUUGGGGUCAGACAAGGCUGGGCUUGAAUUGGCUGCUGUUCACUGGCUUGAUAGCCUCUCUGAGCCCGCAUGUCUCCAUCAGCAAACAGUGGCCAACACCCCCACGCUCCAGGGCCACAGUGAAUCUCCCCGUCGAUAACGUGCAGGAAAUGCCUGCUGCUCAGAAAUGGUCUUGUUAUUAAGGGAAGAGGACCUUUAAUUUUGGAUAGUGAGAUUUAGACUAAUGAGAGAAUUACCCGCUUGUCUGUGCUUUGUAUCACGUCCAAGUAGCUUAUCAGAGUCUUCGGAGAUGAGAAAACUGAUUGUCCCAGCUGCCCCCAGGUCACAAAGCUGGUGAGAGGUGAGGGACUGGAUCUCAGGCCUCCUGCCUCUCCAUCAGGAGGGGAAGAGACGCUCCAGAAAGUCCCAGGGGGGCUAUGGGCUGGGCUCUCAGCCCAGGGUGAGGUGUGCAGCCCAGGUGACCUGUCCAGACGGGGAGGGGUGGGCCAGCCUCUCUGGGUUCCCUUCCAGUCCUGGGCACUGAGCUGCCAGGGGGGGUUUUCUGGGAUUAAGAGGACAACCCCACCACCAGGGAUUUCCCAGAAGCCACAGGGUGGGGGGGGGCGCGGCAGGGAUUCCUUCCUCAGCGGGGCCCCUCCCCUCAUCCCUAGCCCCAAAGUCCGGGGCACUCUGCAGCAGCCCCAAGACCUGCUCCCAGCCUCCUGGCCUGGCCUGGCGCCCAAGCCUUGGCCACACUAGCUACUCCCUUGGUGGGCCUUUGCCAACCGUGGCUGUGCCAGCUCCUCCCUCCCUGGCCCAGCCUCAAAGAAAGUGCGAGAGGCUUCAGGCAGCUAGCUGCCUGAGCUCCCAGGAGAGGCCUGACAGCUGAGGAAUUGCCAGGGAACUAAAAAUGUGGGCAGCCGUAAUUAGAGCGCAUGGGGGUGGGGGGCACUGAGUCUUUCUGGAAGCGUCUAGACACUGCCCCUCCGGGAGUCUCUUUCCAAAAACCUGUCUCCAGCCUGCCCACCUCCUAGACCCCUGGCUUCUGGCUGCCCUUGGGGUCCUCUCAGCUCCAUCACUGCGGAGGGGGGCCGAGGAGGGGCCAGGUGGGAGGGCCGCGGGGGCGUCCUCCUGCCCUCCUGCCCGCUCUCCAGCAGAAAGAAGCUGUCUAGCUUGGGAGUCUGGGGACCUGACUGCUUCUGACUCUGUGACCUUGGCCAGCAGCCGGCCUCUGUGACUCAUUUUCUUCAUCUGUACAAUGAAACCAUUGGACUGGAUGUUCUCGAAGACUCCUUCCAGCGCUGGUGAAUCAACAGUUUCUCCUCCACUCUCCCCUCUCCCCGCCUCCCGUCGCCCAGGGAUGUGUCUGCGGGUCUGCCUGCCGCCACUACGCCUUGCCUUUGGUCUCUGCCCGCUCCCCUGAUGGCGGGGCCGGCUCGCUCCCUGGUUUCCUGGUUCACUCCUCUACUCACUCAACAGACAUGUCAGGGUGCCUGUUUGGAGAUACAGAGGCGUGGCCUGGGCUCCAGAGACUCACGGAUUUAGGGAGAGAGAGGCAUGCCAACAAAUAACUGGCUCAAGGUCUUCACGCCCUGUGAGUCCCCUGGUGGCUCAGCAGGUUAAGGAUCCGGCAUUGUCACAGCUGUGGUGUGUGGCCACCAAAAACAAAACCAAACAAACCAACCAAACAAACAAACGAAAACUUGAUGCCCUAAAGGCAGGAACAGACCCAGAACUGCAAGAACCCAGAGGCAAGAGUGGCCACUGCAGCUGGGGAUCAGGAAGGCUCCUUGUUGGAGGAGGCAGCUGAGCUGGGCCUCGAACCUUGAGCCCACAGGAACCUGGCAGGUGUGGAGGCCCAGGGGGGCCCAGGGAGGAGGACGGGGUGGGAGCGGAGUUUGGAGGGUGCAGGAGGAGGGGCUGGCCAUUCCAGGUGGAGCCAUUCAGAAGGCCUUCUGAGCGCCGUGGCUCCUCAUGGGGUCCUCAGGGCGGGGAGUUUUGUUUCGUUAAUUCCAUACUGUGUCCUGGGAACCAGGCCCUGGGCGUGACACAUAGGGUUCCGUAAGCAUGUGUGGUCAGACGUGCGUUUUCGAUGUGGUGGGAUGGACGGACGAGGGGGCCAGACCCAGGCAGGCCAGCAGGCGGGAAGGUAGGUAAGGGGGGGCCAUGGUGAGAGGCCAGCAGCAGGGGUGGGCAGAACAGGAAGAAGUGGCACUGCCUGGUGACAGCCUGGCUGUGGGCAUGGGGUGAGGAAGGCGGUCUGCUGGGCAGCGACAGAAUGGGAGGGGAGAAGGGGAAGGGGCAGCUUUGGGCUCACUGUGAGACAGGCUGAACUUCUUUGGGGGGCCGUGCCCAUGCGGAAUUUCCCAGGCUGGGGAUGGAUGGAAGCUGUGCACGACAGUGACAACGCCAGAUCCUUAACCACUAGGCCGCCAGGGAAUUCAGGACAGGCUGGAAUUUUAUGCCCACUUUUGGGUGUGUUUCAUGUCCCUCCACCAAGUGGUGGCAUCUUCAGAGCAAGGCCAGGUCUGCUUUUCCUGUAGCCCCAGGCCUUGCCUGAGGCCCGGUUCUGCUGAACCUGGGUAACGAGUUAGAGGGUUCAUGGGGGCUUCUUUGAACGGCUGCCUCAGAUCAGGAACAGAGCCACUGGCCAAAGGCCUCCUCAGGUGUCCCUUCCAAUGUGAGGGAAAAGAAACUGGAGGGGAGUCGGGUGUGGAGACUCCCGACAGGCCACAGGCCUCGGAUCACGGCCACAGGCCUCGGAUCACGGCCCCCUGCUCCGUGGCCCAGACCAGACCAAGGACACCUCCUGUGCCACAGCUCCCACAGCCCAGAGCCGUGACCACACCCGCUGCCGUCUCCGCAGACUUGGGCCAGGGUUCUUGACCUGUGGGGCCGGCCCUGAACGACUGCAGAGCGUCUGUGGGCUCUGAAGUCGCCUGCAGGUGGUGGGCGUGUGGACCGUCUUCUGAGGAAAGGCUUCCCACCCUUCGUCAGAUUCCUGAAGAGCGGCUGAGUCAAAGCGAGGUUAAAAUCUGCCACUCUAAGAGAACAGAAGGAGGAAGAGGAGGAGGAGAAUGUAUUUCAUUGGCUCUAUGUAAGAGGCAGACAGACACACGAGUAGCUAUUAAAAAGCAAAAACCAAACCAAACCAAAACAACACCCCUGCCAGGCCAAGCUCUCCCUUUCCAAGCCCCGUCCCAGCACCCAGCCAGGGCCAGACACACGGAAUUUUCCUUCAGUGACCCCUUAGGGACCACUCACUUUAUACCAGGCCCCCCACCAGGAUGAGGAGAUCCCCUUUCAGCUUCCUCCUGGCCCCCUGUGGAGACCGGAUUUAAAGCUAGAGUUGCUUUAAGCUGUGUUCUCAGACGUUCCUGUUGUGACUCAGUGGUAAGGAGCCCAACUAGUAUCCGUGAGGAUGUGGGUUGGAUCCCUGGCCUCUCUCCGUGGGUUGAGGAUCCAGCAUUGCUGUGGCUGUGGCAGCAGCUGUAGCUCUGAUUUGACUCCUAGCCUGGGAGCUUCCUUAUGCGGCAAGUGCGGCCCUAAAAAGAAAAAAAAAUGGAAAAAAAA